rnacentral:rRNA from 1 species
AUUGAACGCUGGCGGCAGGCCUAACAAAUGCAAGUCGAACGAGUGGCGGACGGGUGAGGAAUGUCUGGGAAACUGCCUGAUGGAGGGGGAUAACUAAUGGAAACGGUAGCUAAUAACGCAUACCAUCGGAUGUGCACAGAUGGGAUUAGCUAGGAGGUGGGGUAAAGGCUAACCUAGGCGACGAUACAUAGCUGGUCUGAGAGGAUGACCUGCCACACUUGAACUGAGCCAUGGUCCAGACUCCUACGGGGGACAGCAGUGGGGAAUAUUGCACAAUGGGCGCAAGCCUGAUGCAGCCAUGCCGCGUGUAUGAAGAAGGCCUUCGGGUUGUAAAGUACUUUCAGCGGGGAGGCGUUACCCGCAGAAGAAGCACCGGCUAACUCCGUGCCAGCAGCCGCGGUAAUUC